rnacentral:rRNA from 1 species
UACGAGAGAGGCAAGUGUUACUCGUCAUGACUGGGCGUAAAGGGCACGUAGACGGUUUAUUGAUACAUAUUGUAAAAGGCUGUGCGAAAUCAUAGAACUACUUUUUGUAAUAAUAUUCUAGAGUUAUUCUCAAGUUAAAAGAAAACCUAAUUCAGGGCUCAAAUCUGUUUAACCAAGUGAAAAUAAUCAAAAGGCGAAGGCAUUUGGCUAGAGGUAACUGACGUUGAGGUGCGAAAGCACGGGGAGCGAAUGGG